GCCUUCGAUCUCCAGCCGCGCAGGAUGGUGAAAACCUUGAUCGGGAGUGCCCGAUUCACUCCCCAAUCCCCGUCCAUCCGCUCCUCCCCAAUCCCCAUCUCUCCUCCUCCCCAACCAUGGCGGCGCGUCCGUUCCUCCAUCCUUCCACCCGCGGCUGCAUCCCGACGACAGCGGUUGGAUGGCGAUGGUCAGGGGUGGCGGACGACAGUGUGUGCCGAUUGAGGGCAGCGCGGAGAAGAAGCAGCGGGGGCGGCGGGGAGAAGAAGCAGCAAGGCGGCGACCCCACGACCUCCAGCAUCCUCACCUCCUCAAGCCCCCGUUGUAACGGCAUCAACACGGAGAGUGGCGGCGGUGCGACCUCGAGAAGGUCGUCCACAGCCGGCCAGGGCUCGAGAUCUGGCGGAUCGAGGGCUGCAGCAGCAGUGGGAUGGAUAUAGGUGGUGGUGGAGGCCGCCUCCUCUCCUCCUCCCCCAAUUCUUCCACUCCUAAAGGCAGUGGUGGAGGCUCGCCGGACCCAGACGGUCGACAUGCCUAGGAGGCGCGGGUUCGCUCAGGUUUUCUUUUCCCUCCUCUCUCCACUCUUCCUCUCUGUCUAUCUCUGGUAGCUCUCAUUCUCGUUUCUCUACUUCUUUCUGUGGAUGAGGGUGCAUCUGCAAGGAACUAGGCAGUAGGUGUGAGUCAAGGAUGGCGGCGAGCAGCAGCGGCGGAGGUCGAUGGCAUGCCUCCCCCUUUCCUCUCCCAGUGGCACAAGGCAUUGGAGGAGGACGGCCAGGAGGUGGUUGCUGCUUCCCUAGAAUCCAUGAGGAAGCUAGAGCUCCCGGCCCCCCUUUGCUACAGACCUAGGUUAAAAAGGCGCUGCCUAGCUAACUAUUCUUUCAAGCUGGUAAACCAUAUGUGGUGGUUCGAAGCUUUUAUUGCAUACUCGUUGGUGUCGGCAACCGUAUCUCCAUCUCCCUUCAUGGUGGUCGCCCCUCCGUGGUGCCCAGCUGCAGGCCUGGAUGUGGAGGAGGAGCAGGAUGUCCGGGAGAAAGCGAGCAUGCCGGUGGCAGCUUGAGUGAUGCAGUUUGAUAGGCCUCUACCCAUUAUGAUGAUAGCUUGCCUCAAAUGAUUCAAAUUUACAUCGAAUGAGGCCGUUGGAUGGGUUCCAGUGGUUCAAGUUGUACUGGCUACAUUAGGUUUUAUCAUGUUGGGAGGAGGUAGUGUCCAUCCCGGUUCUGGGGAAUCGAUUUGGGCAACUCUUGAAGUUUGGUUCUCACAUAUUGGCCCUGAAAGAUAAUGUUUGUGCAAGUGGCCUAUUGAUGUUACGCUUAUUUGAAAGCCAUAAGGAAGUCGGUGAUGAAGGAGCUGACCACUAUCGAAUGUGUCGGUUGCUAUCCAAUCCAUGUAUAUUGCAAACCUGGUACGAUGGUGGCCAAAUGGGGUUUGACACAAGGGGUAAGGCUGGAUGGAGCUUCCAGGGCCUCCGGUUUGGCGGUGGCCUGCGACUAUCAUAUAGGAAGUGGUUACCGUAUCCUUUUGAAAGAUGCAGCGGGCAAAAAAUAAGUUGUUGCUAAAUGGCUAGCAAGACCGUUCGAACUGAAUAAAUCUCAAGAAGCUGUAAAGGAUGAUUCAGGGGUCACUGCAGAGGAUGAAAUUAGAUGGAGGACAUAGAGGUAUAACCUGAAGGGAGGAGCAAGGAUAUGUUGAUGUGCCUUGAUGGUGGAGGCGGGUGUCACGGCCAUGGUCUUCCUUUCUGCCGCUGGUGGCGCCGGAUGGCAUCGACGGCAUGGAGUCAAACGUUUGACCAACAUCAAUGACAAGAUCAUUAGAUUUUUCUUGGGUACUAUAUCCUCGCCAUUCCUGUGGAGAGUGGAACACAGUCGAGAGGAGGUAUCAAGUAUGCCAUACACAGGUGCGGAGGAGUCGUCUCUGCAACAUGACGAAAGGAGAGAGGAGGAGGUGACUGGGGAGCUUCAAGGAGAGAUGGGUGUUGGGAUAUAUGUGCAAUUGUGCUCUUCUAAUUUAGUUAGUCCACUCAGUUUAAGUUAGAUGUGAAGCAAUCGCACAAGGCACAUGCUCAUGUCAUGACGUGUUAUGGAGCUCAUGUUUGAGGCAACGGAAUUAAAUCGAGCAGUUCUUGGUUCUCCCCUCGCAGGAAAGCGGGGCCAUAGCAGUCCAUGAGUCUGACCCAGUGGUGCCACGGUGUCCCUCUCCAGGCCAGUGUCAACACAUAUUGUACUUAGUGUUUGCUUCUGUGGACAAUCUGGUUCUACUUGGCACUUUUGCUUUUCCUAACGAAUUAUAAAUGGCCAUGUCGUGCCAUGUAUUAUGUGCACUAUAGUUUGAUUAGCAAAUUUCUGGGAAAUCGUUUAAGAGUUUCAACUGUUC